rnacentral:misc_RNA from 1 species
UCGAGUGUUACAACUCCCAAACCCUAUGUGAACCUUACCUACUGUUGCUUCGGCGGGACCGCCCCGGCGCCUCUGUGCGACGGAACCAGGCGCCCGCCGGGGGACCGAAACUCUUGAUUGUCUUAGUGGUAUUCUCUCUGAGUGGCACAAGCAAAAUAAAAUUA